CCUACGGGAGGCAGCAGUGAGGAAUAUUGGUCAAUGGACGAGAGUCUGAACCAGCCAAGUAGCGUGAAGGAUGAAUGCCCUGUGGGUUGUAAACUUCUUUUAUAAAGGAAUAAAACGAGGCACGUGUGCCUUUUUGCAUGUACCUUAUGAAUAAGGAUCGGCUAACUCCGUGCCAGCAGCCGCGGUAAUACGGAGGGUCCGAGCGUUAUCCGGAUUUAUUGGGUUUAAAGGGAGCGUAGAUGGGGUGUUAAGUCAGGUGUGAAAGUUUGCGGCUCAACCGGAAAAUUGCAGUUGAUACUGGCAGGCUGGAGUACAGUUGAGGUAGGCGGAAUGCGUGGUGUAGCGGUGAAAUGCAUAGAUAUCACGAAGAACCCCGAUUGCGAAGGCAGCUUACUAAACUGAGACUGACAUUGAGGCACGAAAGUGUGGGUAUCAAACAGGAUUAGAUACCCGAGUAGUC
rnacentral:rRNA from 1 species